rnacentral:rRNA from 1 species
AAAUUGAAGAGUUUGAUCAUGGCUCAGAUUGAACGCUGGCGGCAGGCCUAACACAUGCAAGUCGAACGGUAACAGGAAGCAGCUUGCUGUUUCGCUGACGAGUGGCGGACGGGUGAGUAAUGUCUGGGAAACUGCCUGAUGGAGGGGGAUAACUACUGGAAACGGUAGCUAAUACCGCAUAACGUCGCAAGACCAAAGAGGGGGACCUUCGGGCCUCUUGCCAUCGGAUGUGCCCAGAUGGGAUUAGCUAGUAGGUGGGGUAACGGCUCACCUAGGCGACGAUCCCUAGCUGGUCUGAGAGGAUGACCAGCCACACUGGAACUGAGACACGGUCCAGACUCCUACGGGAGGCAGCAGUGGGGAAUAUUGCACAAUGGGCGCAAGCCUGAUGCAGCCAUGCCGCGUGUAUGAAGAAGGCCUUCGGGUUGUAAAGUACUUUCAGCGGGG